GUCACCAGGGUGUCACCGGGGCUCAGGAAGUGUCCCCAGGGUGUCCCCAGGGUGUCACCGGGGCUCAGGAAGUGUCCCCAGGGUGUCCCCGCGCUGUCCCCGGGGUGUCCCAGGGCUCAGGGAGGUGUCCCCAGGGUGUCCCCAGGGUGUCACGGAGCUCACGGAGGUGUCCCCGUGCUGUCCCGGGGCUCGGGGAGGUGUCCCCAGGCUGUCCCCAGGGUGUCCCGGGGCUCAGGGAAGUGUCCCCAGGGUGUCCCCAGGGUGUCCCCGCGCUGUCCCCGCGCCGUCCCCGCGGUGUCACAGUGCUCAGGGAAGUGUCCCCAGGGUGUCCCGGGGCUCGGGGAGGUGUCCCCAGGGUGUCCCCAGGGUGUCCCCAGGGUGUCCCCAGGGUGUCACCAGUGUCACCAGGGUGUCCCCAGGUGUCCCCAGGGUGUCCCUAGGGUGUCCCCGGUGUCACCAUGGUGUCCCCAGGAUGUCCCCACGAGUGGGAUUGGGAAUGGGAUGAGCUCCUUGUCCCUGUGGUGUCCCCAUGGUGUCCCUGUGGUGUCCCCCAAUG
rnacentral:lncRNA from 1 species